CAAUAGCGUAUAUUUAAGUUGUUGCAGUUAAAAAGCUCGUAGUUGGAUUUCGGGUGGGACGCAGCGGUCUCGCAUUGCGUUUGUACUGCUGCAGCCCUCCUUCUUGCCGGGGGCGGCCUCUCGGACUUCACUGUCUGGGGGUCAGAAUCGGGGAUGUUACUUUGAGUAAAUUAGAGUGUUCAAAGCAAGCUUACGCUCUGAAUAUAAUAGCAUGGGAUAACACGACAGGACUCUGGCCUAUCGUGUUGGUCUAUAGGACCAGAGUAAUGAUUAAGAGGGACAGUCGGGGGCAUUCGUAUUCCGUUGUCAGAGGUGAAAUUCUUGGAUUUACGGAAGACGAACAUCUGCGAAAGCAUUUGCCAAGGAUGUUUUCAUUGA
rnacentral:rRNA from 1 species